GACGAACGCUGGCGGCGUGCUUAACACAUGCAAGUCGAACGGAAAGGCCCUGCGUUUGUGGGGUGCUCGAGUGUCGAACGCGUGUGUAACACGUGAGUAACCUGCCCUUGACUUUGGGAUAACUUCAGGAAACUGGGGCUAAUACCGGAUAGGAGCUCCUGCCGCGUGGCGUGGGUUGGAAAGUUUCGGCGGUUGGGGAUGGACUCGCGGCUUAUCAGCUUGUUGGUGGGGUAGUGGCUUACCAAGGCUUUGACGGGUAGCCGGCCUGAGAGGGUGACCGGCCACAUUGGGACUGAGAUACGGCCCAGACUCCUACGGGAGGCAGCAGUGGGGAAUAUUGCACAAUGGGCGGAAGCCUGAUGCAGCAACGCCGCGUGCGGGAUGACGGCCUUCGGGUUGUAAACCGCUUUCGGCUGUGACGAAGCGUGAGUGACGGUAAUGGGUAAAGAAGCACCGGCUAACUACGUG
rnacentral:rRNA from 1 species